CUGCGUUCCCUACCGCAAACCCUAAUCUAAUCUCAUAUUUUCUUCGUCCGGCUUCUCGGUCCUCUGCACUUUAACCUUCAACAAUGUCUCACUUUGGAAGGUCGGGUCCUCCGGACAUUACCGACACCUAUUCGCUUCUAGUUCUCAAUAUCACAUUCCGUACAACCGCUGAUGACCUGUUUCCCCUGUUCGAUAAGUAUGGCAAGGUCGUCGACAUCUUUAUUCCCAGAGAUCGGAGGACCGGUGAAUCAAGGGGUUUUGCAUUUGUGCGUUAUAAGUAUGCUGACGAGGCACAAAAGGCUGUGGACAGGCUGGACGGAAGAGUGGUCGAUGGCCGCGAGAUAACUGUUCAGUUUGCAAAAUAUGGGCCUAAUGCAGAGAGGAUUCACAAGGGAAAGAUUAGUGAAACGUUCCCCAAGUCUAGGUACAGGUCAAGGAGCCGCAGCCCCAGGAGAAGGUAUCGUGAUGAUUAUAGGGACAGGGAUUAUAGGAAGAGGAGUCGCAGCAGGAGUUAUGAUAGGUAUGAAAGGGAUAGGUAUCGUGGAAGAGACAGAGAUUAUCGUCGCAGAAGUAGGAGCCGUAGUGCAAGUCCUGAUUACUACAAGAGUCGUGGAAGGGAUCGCUAUGAUGAUGAUCGCCGAAGCCGAAGCCGAUCUGUGGAUAGUCGCUCCCCUGUACGACGCAGUCUUAGUCCUCGAAGGAGUCCUUCACCUCAAAGGAGUGUUUCCCCUCAAAGAAGUAGUUCUCCAAGGAGGAGCCCAAGGGGUGAAAGCCCUGAGAGUCGUGAUGGACGAUCACCUACACCUCGCAGUCGCAGUGUUUCACCACGGGGUCAUCCCAGGGAUUCAAGAAGCCCAUCGCCUCGAAAUUCUAAUGGAGAUGAAUGAGCACGGGUUUUCGGAUGAAAAAUUGUGGAGACACCAUGAGCUUGCAGUUGUAGCUGCUUUGAUGAUGUUGGAUCAUUUGAUCGUUGUUCAUGAUCUUGUCGGACUUCCUUGGUGUUAAAAUGUUACUAUAUUUGGACCUAAUGUGUCUUCUAGUGGUCUAUCUGUUAUGUUCGGGUAAAGUGGUGGGGGCCUGGUAGGCUCAUGUUGGCAUUGUUGCUGUUGAUGCUGUGUCUAUGUCAUUGAUGGUUGGUCGUGAAUUUGACGCUCGUUGCAAGAGAAUAUGCUGGUUUUAGGAGUAUGAUUGUUUUACCGAUAUGCUGAUUUGACAAGCAAUUAGUUGACUUGAUUUAUAUCCCAAAUGAUCAUUUGAUUGGAUUCUUGUUGCUGUGAUGGACACGAGAUGAACCUGUAAUGAGAUGUAGCGGAUGCCCCAUAGGAGAUGCGCCUGGCAUUCAUUAAUUCAGAUGCAGACACUAAACAAUAAGUUGUGGAUACCGAAUAUUAAACCUAAUAUGCUGUGGUGUGAGAUUUCCAAGUUCAGCGAUGGGGGACAAUGUGAGAUACGUUCGUUGUAGCAGAGAUGGUGGCUGAUGCAUCUUUUGUGUGAUAUGCGUGUGUUCGUGAGUAAUUUGAAGAAUUAACAAAUAACUGCCUGUAGCUGGCUGUUGCUGCCCUUUUGCUGGGGUCGGGGUUUGCAAUGGUAUUAGCAGUUGGUUGAUGAUGGCUGGCUAGCUGGUUUCUGUUGAUUGCAGAGCCUCCUGAAAUGAAUAUUUUUAUCAUUGAACUGGUGAUCGGUUUUGUAGUUUUGUUUCAAUGCCUUCUUUUUUUUCCUUGGAUCAUCAUUGUGGUAGCAUGCUUAUCUUUUCUAGCAGUGCUACCUGUCUUUUCCAGUGGCCCUUUUUGGCAUUAGUUCUUGCUCAUGAUCACCAUCACUACGUUGUGGGGUGAUAAUGUCGUGCAACUGAAAAGGCAUAAUGGUUAUCUUGGGUAUUUGAUCUUUUUUAAUUAUGUGUCAUCUAGCAAUGCAUUUUAAAUUCUUGAUUGCUGAUUAGCUUGAUCUUUGAUAUAUUGAGAUGAGAAAAAUAGAUGCAUAAUGUUUUGUUCAUCUUCUUCGUCUCUAUCUGAAUCAUUUGGUCCAUCAGAUUUUGUAUUGUAUAUGCUCAUCUAUGUUGUUUUUUUGUUGAAAAAAUUAAUGCAAAUGAUGUUAUAUGCUCAUCUAUUGUAUUUGCCUCACUGGAAUUAUAUUUUUAGAAAGAAUCCUAUUGUAUUUUAAGCUGGAUUGGUAUUGUAUUUUUAGCCUAUCUGCUUUCUUGUCGUUUUGUGAAUAUGCUUAAGAUUUGAAUGAUAUGAGAAUUUGUCAAUCGCUAAUUGCUUGAACUAGAGCUUUUUCGUUGCUUAAUGUGAGAAACCGGUACUGGUCAUGGCCGGUGAUGUAGUUUGCCUUGUAUAAGCUCCUUAGCUUUUAUUCUCCGUUUCAGUCAAUCGUGGAUAUCAAGGUCCCUUUUCAUAUCCAUAUUCUCUGCCCCCUUGAGCACUUCAAUGUUCAAAAAUAUAAUGAAGCUGAUCUGCAUGAGUGCAAAUGGCUGGGCCCAUAGUUUCACAAAUAUUCUGGUGUUCUUUUCUAGCAUAUGGAGAAGAUUAAGAUUUUGGCUUGGAUAUCCACGAGUGAAUCUUUUUUCCUCGCUGCUCUGAGAAAGAAACUAGGAGUUAAUUCAAUUGGUUUUCCAUUAGUUUGCUGUUGAUGUGGUCCAGUUAUGGCCUUCUAGGUAUGAAAUUUCUGUGGUAAUCUGGUUUGUGUAUUGUUCGUCUCGAGAGAAAGGGCUUUCCUUUUUGUUUUUUAAAUUAGAGGAGCGGAUACUAAUAGCUUGAGGUUACUGCUAGGAUUGAAUUGACAACCGACUCUUAUUAGGGAAUUUUCGUGCUAUUUGGUCGGAGCAUUCCUACUGGAGUAGGAUAAUUACUGCCUCCCAUGGUGAAUUGGUGCUGUAUUAGUGUUGCAAGUAUAGACCCCACUAACGCGACCCUCACAGGGCCCUAGUCUUGUCUGUUCCACGUGGCCUCUAGUAUCAGCAUUGAUCUUGCUUAUCCUUGUUUUCUGCAAGACAAGCGAUUUCGUCAGAUUUGGAACACCCGUUGUUCUCCUCUUAUAGUCUAAAUUGGCAAAUAGUAAAUUGUAAAUUAUGCAUGUGAUAUUUAUCUGAGAGUGAUUCGUGAUGGUGGUUUCGUCAACUGCUAAUGUAAUCGUCACUUGAUGAUACGUGAAUUCAUAUGAUCGUAUUAGUUAAAACCAAUUACUAGUUA